AUUGAACGCUGGCGGCAGGCCUAACACAUGCAAGUCGAGCGAGAAAGCACUUCGGUGCGAGUAGAGCGGCGGACGGGUGAGUAACGCGUAGGAAUCUACCUGGUAGUGGGGGACAACUCGGGGAAACUCGAGCUAAUACCGCAUACGCCCUUCGGGGGAAAGCGGGGGAUCUUCGGACCUCGCGCUAUUGGAUGAGCCUGCGUCGGAUUAGCUUGUUGGUGAGGUAAAGGCUCACCAAGGCGACGAUCCGUAGCUGGUCUGAGAGGAUGAUCAGCCACACUGGGACUGAGACACGGCCCAGACUCCUACGGGAGGCAGCAGUGGGGAAUAUUGCGCAAUGGGCGAAAGCCUGACGCAGCCAUGCCGCGUGUGUGAAGAAGGCCUUAGGGUUGUAAAGCACUUUCAAUAGGGAGAAAAGGCUCAUCGUUAAUAGCGGUGAGAGUUGAUGUUACCUAUAGAAGAAGCACCGGCUAACUCCGUGCCAGCC
rnacentral:rRNA from 1 species